ACGCGGCCGUGCCUUGACGUGCCCUUCAUGUGAGGCUCGGCCAGCAAUGCCCAGACUUACUCCCUUCACUAUUCCUUGUGCUGGAACACUUACCACAAUGGUGACACAACCUUUCUGACCCUGCCCCCACGGUGGGAAAUGAGUCCCUAAUGAUGACGAAGAUCAAGGGCAGAUAAAUGAACAAGCAGAGGACAGGUGGCUCUGUACGGUGGCAUGUGUGAUUGACGCAAACAGGCAAAGAAACAAAUCAAGCCGGAGACACCCGAGUAACCCUUCAACCUAGACCACCAGCAGACCCAUCACUAUAUCACCAUGACUACAGGCACCAUCACCAAGACAGUAACACGGCUGUCACUAUGACCCAUCCCCUCACCACUAUCAUCGCACAUCACUAUCCUCCUCCUUUAUCAUCACUAUCAUAUGUUUAUCCAGCGUGUAUGAGGCACAUGGCAACAGAGGGGCUUUCUCACCGAUAUGGCUGGAACUUUAACCUUUGAUCACUGGAAGCCCGUUAUGACACAAGUCCCCCCGUCACAACACGCCCCAUGUCACUGCCACCACUAUCCUCCCCCGCUGGUGCCGCCAUCACCACCACUCAAUCACAACCUCUGCAUCAUGUUCCUCACCUAAAGGAUGGACGGGAUGAGACAACGUGAUGGGCAGUGUAAAAAUAGCAUUGUCACCAUCACCACUAGCAUUAUCACACACACACACACACACACACCUCAUACUCCCAGCGUACGUAAAGACUUAAUGAUCAAAACACAGCAUACACAGAGGGAUAUAAAUAUGGAACGAGGGACAGCCAAGAUGGAUUGAUAUGACUGAGGAAUACAUGAAGGAGAGGCGGAAGGAAUCAAGGGUUACUGUUGGAACCGUGGAGGGCAUGAUGAACAGGGAGAGGGAGACUGUCUCGCCGAGGUCACCCUUCAAGGAAAAUAUCUGGCGGGAGCAGAGUGCCACAGCCCCAGACAGACAGGUCAAGGAAUGGAGGAGUAAGGAGAUAAAUACUGCCAAGGUCACCCUUCAAGGAAAAUAUCUGGCGGGAGCAGAGUGCCACAGCCCCAGACAGACAGGUCAAGGAAUGGAGGAGUAAGGAGAUAAAUAAUGCCAAGGUCACCCUUCAAGGAAAAUAUCUGAUGGGAGCAGAGUGCCACAGCCCCAGACAGACAGGUCAAGGAAUGGAGGAGUAAGGAGAUAAAUAAUGCCAAGG